rnacentral:rRNA from 1 species
UUCGCCCUUGGAUCCAGACUUUGAUUCUGGCUCAGGACGAACGCUGGCGGCGUGCCUUAAUACAUGCAAGUAGAACGCUGAAGAGAGGAGCUUGCUCUUCUUGGAUGAGUUGCGAACGGGUGAGUAACGCGUAGGUAACCUGCCUUGUAGCGGGGGAUAACUAUUGGAAACGAUAGCUAAUACCGCAUAACAAUGGAUGACACAUGUCAUUUAUUUGAAAGGGGCAAUUGCUCCACUACAAGAUGGACCUGCGUUGUAUUAGCUAGUAGGUGAGGUAACGGCUCACCUAGGCGACGAUACAUAGCCGACCUGAGAGGGUGAUCGGCCACACUGGGACUGAGACACGGCCCAGACUCCUACGGGAGGCAGCAGUAGGGAAUCUUCGGCAAUGGGGGCAACCCUGACCGAGCAACGCCGCGUGAGUGAAGAAGGUUUUCGGAUCGUAAAGCUCUGUUGUAAGUCAAGAACGAGUGUAAGAGUGGAAAGUUCACACUGUGACGGUAGCUUACCAGAAAGGGACGGCUAACUACGUGCCAGCAGCCGCGGUAAUACGUAGGUCCCGAGCGUUGUCCGGAUUUAUUGGGCGUAAAGCGAGCGCAGGCGGUUUGAUAAGUCUGAAGUUAAAGGCUGUGGCUCAACCAUAGUUCGCUUUGGAAACUGUCAAACUUGAGUGCAGAAGGGGAGAGUGGAAUUCCAUGUGUAGCGGUGAAAUGCGUAGAUAUAUGGAGGAACACCGGGUGGCGAAAGGCGGCUCUCUGGUCUGUAACUGACGGCUGAGGCUCGAAAGCCGUGGGGGAGCGAACAGGAUUAGAUAACCCUGGUAGUCCACGGCCGUAAACGAUGGAGUAGCUAGGUGUUUGGAUUCCUUUCCGGGAUUCAGUGAGCGCGCAGCUAACGCAUAUAAGCACUCCGCCUGGGGAAUACGGACCGCAAGGUUGCCAACUCAAAUGAAUUGAACGGAAAGGGCGAAAUUUCGUGCAAACCUG